ACUCCUACGGGAGGCAGCAGUAGGGAAUCUUCCGCAAUGGACGAAAGUCUGACGGAGCAACGCCGCGUGAGUGAUGAAGGCCUUCGGGUCGUAAAACUCUGUUGUUAGGGAAGAACAAGUACCGGAGUAACUGCCGGUACCUUGACGGUACCUAACCAGAAAGCCACGGCUAACUACGUGCCAGCAGCCGCGGUAAUACGUAGGUGGCAAGCGUUGUCCGGAAUUAUUGGGCGUAAAGCGCGCGCAGGCGGUCCUUUAAGUCUGAUGUGAAAGCCCACGGCUCAACCGUGGAGGGUCAUUGGAAACUGGGGACUUGAGUGCAGAAGAGGAAAGCGGAAUUCCACGUGUAGCGGUGAAAUGCGUAGAGAUGUGGAGGAACACCAGUGGCGAAGGCGGCUUUCUGGUCUGUAACUGACGCUGAGGCGCGAAAGCGUGGGGAGCAAACAGGAUUAGAUACCCUGGUAGCGAGUAG
rnacentral:rRNA from 1 species